rnacentral:rRNA from 1 species
GACGAACGCUGGCGGCGUGCUUAACACAUGCAAGUCGAACGGAAAGGCCCUGCUUUUGUGGGGUGCUCGAGUGGCGAACGGGUGAGUAACACGUGAGUAACCUGCCCUUGACUUUGGGAUAAAUUCAGGAAACUGGGGCUAAUACCGGAUAGGAGCUCCUGCUGCAUGGGGGGGGGUGGAAAGUUUCGGCGGUUGGGGAUGGAAUCGCGGCUUAUCAGCUUGUUGGUGGGGUAGUGGCUUACCAAGGCUUUGACGGGUAGCCGGCCUGAGAGGGUGACCGGCCACAUUGGGACUGAGAUACGGCCCAGACUCCUACGGGAGGCAGCAGUGGGGAAUAUUGCACAAUGGGCGGAAGCCUGAUGCAGCAACGCCGCGUGCGGGAUGACGGCCUUCGGGUUGUAAACCGCUUUCGCCUGUGACGAAGCGUGAGUGACGGUAAUGGGUAAAGAAGCACCGGCUAACUACGUG